rnacentral:rRNA from 1 species
UGGCAACGCUGGCGGCGUGCUAUACAUGCAAGUCGAGCGGACAGAAGGGAGCUUGCUCCCGGAUGUUAGCGGCGGACGGGUGAGUAACACGUGGGUAACCUGCCUGUAAGACUGGGAUAACUCCGGGAAACCGGAGCUAAUACCGGAUAGUUCCUUGAACCGCAUGGUUCAAGGAUGAAAGACGGUUUCGGCUGUCACUUACAGAUGGACCCGCGGCGCAUUAGCUAGUUGGUGGGGUAAUGGCUCACCAAGGCGACGAUGCGUAGCCGACCUGAGAGGGUGAUCGGCCACACUGGGACUGAGACACGCCCCAAACUCCUACGGGAGGCAGCAGUAGGGAAUCUUCCGCAAUGGACAAAAGUCUGACGGAACAACCCCGCGUGAGUGAUGAAGGUUUUCG